rnacentral:rRNA from 1 species
CCUACGGGAGGCAGCAGUGGGGAAUUUUGCGCAAUGGGGGAAACCCUGACGCAGCGACGCCGCGUGAGCGAUGAAGGCCUUCGGGUCGUAAAGCUCAGUCAUUGGGGAUGAAAAGGACAGUACCCAAAGAGGAAGCCCCGGCUAACUACGUGCCAGCAGCCGCGGUAAUACGUAGGGGGCGAGCGUUGUCCGGAAUUACUGGGUGUAAAGGGCGUGUAGGCGGGGAUGCAAGUUACCGGUAAAAACCCGUGGCUCAACCACGGGCUUGCCGAUAAAACUGCAUCUCUUGAGUGUAGGAGAGGGAAGUGGAAUUCCCGGAGUAGCGGUGAAAUGCGUAGAUACCGGGAGGAACACCGGUGGCGAAGGCGGCUUCCUGGCCUAUCACUGACGCUGAGGCGCGAAAGCUAGGGGAGCGAACG